ACUAAGCGUACACGGUGGAUGCCCUGGCAGUCAGAGGCGAUGAAGGACGUGCUAAUCUGCGAUAAGCGUCGGUAAGGUGAUAUGAACCGUUAUAACCGGCGAUUUCCGAAUGGGGAAACCCAGUGUGAUUCGUCACACUAUCAUUAACUGAAUCCAUAGGUUAAUGAGGCGAACCGGGGGAACUGAAACAUCUAAGUACCCCGAGGAAAAGAAAUCAACCGAGAUUCCCCCAGUAGCGGCGAGCGAACGGGGAGGAGCCCAGAGCCUGAAUCAGUGUGUGUGUUAGUGGAAGCGUCUGGAAAGGCGCGCGAUACAGGGUGACAGCCCCGUACACAAAAAUGCACAUGCUGUGAGCUCGAUGAGUAGGGCGGGACACGUGGUAUCCUGUCUGAAUAUGGGGGGACCAUCCUCCAAGGCUAAAUACUCCUGACUGACCGAUAGUGAACCAGUACCGUGAGGGAAAGGCGAAAAGAACCCCGGCGAGGGGAGUGAAAAAGAACCUGAAACCGUGUACGUACAAGCAGUGGGAGCACGCUUAGGCGUGUGACUGCGUACCUUUUGUAUAAUGGGUCAGCGACUUAUAUUCUGUAGCAAGGUUAACCGAAUAGGGGAGCCGAAGGGAAACCGAGUCUUAACUGGGCGUUAAGUUGCAGGGUAUAGACCCGAAACCCGGUGAUCUAGCCAUGGGCAGGUUGAAGGUUGGGUAACACUAACUGGAGGACCGAACCGACUAAUGUUGAAAAAUUAGCGGAUGACUUGUGGCUGGGGGUGAAAGGCCAAUCAAACCGGGAGAUAGCUGGUUCUCCCCGAAAGCUAUUUAGGUAGCGCCUCGUGAAUUCAUCUCCGGGGGUAGAGCACUGUUUCGGCAAGGGGGUCAUCCCGACUUACCAACCCGAUGCAAACUGCGAAUACCGGAGAAUGUUAUCACGGGAGACACACGGCGGGUGCUAACGUCCGUCGUGAAGAGGGAAACAACCCAGACCGCCAGCUAAGGUCCCAAAGUCAUGGUUAAGUGGGAAACGAUGUGGGAAGGCCCAGACAGCCAGGAUGUUGGCUUAGAAGCAGCCAUCAUUUAAAGAAAGCGUAAUAGCUCACUGGUCGAGUCGGCCUGCGCGGAAGAUGUAACGGGGCUAAACCAUGCACCGAAGCUGCGGCAGCGACGCUGAUGCGUUGUUGGGUAGGGGAGCGUUCUGUAAGCCUGCGAAGGUGUGCUGUGAGGCAUGCUGGAGGUAUCAGAAGUGCGAAUGCUGACAUAAGUAACGAUAAAGCGGGUGAAAAGCCCGCUCGCCGGAAGACCAAGGGUUCCUGUCCAACGUUAAUCGGGGCAGGGUGAGUCGACCCCUAAGGCGAGGCCGAAAGGCGUAGUCGAUGGGAAACAGGUUAAUAUUCCUGUACUUGGUGUUACUGCGAAGGGGGGACGGAGAAGGCUAUGUUGGCCGGGCGACGGUUGUCCUGGUUUAAGCGUGUAGGCUGGUUUUCCAGGCAAAUCCGGAAAACUAAGGCUGAGGCGUGAUGACGAGGCACUACGGUGCUGAAGCAACAAAUGCCCUGCUUCCAGGAAAAGCCUCUAAGCAUCAGGUAACAUCAAAUCGUACCCCAAACCGACACAGGUGGUCAGGUAGAGAAUACCAAGGCGCUUGAGAGAACUCGGGUGAAGGAACUAGGCAAAAUGGUGCCGUAACUUCGGGAGAAGGCACGCUGAUAUGUAGGUGAAGUCCCUCGCGGAUGGAGCUGAAAUCAGUCGAAGAUACCAGCUGGCUGCAACUGUUUAUUAAAAACACAGCACUGUGCAAACACGAAAGUGGACGUAUACGGUGUGACGCCUGCCCGGUGCCGGAAGGUUAAUUGAUGGGGUCAGCGCAAGCGAAGCUCUUGAUCGAAGCCCCGGUAAACGGCGGCCGUAACUAUAACGGUCCUAAGGUAGCGAAAUUCCUUGUCGGGUAAGUUCCGACCUGCACGAAUGGCGUAAUGAUGGCCAGGCUGUCUCCACCCGAGACUCAGUGAAAUUGAACUCGCUGUGAAGAUGCAGUGUACCCGCGGCAAGACGGAAAGACCCCGUGAACCUUUACUAUAGCUUGACACUGAACAUUGAGCCUUGAUGUGUAGGAUAGGUGGGAGGCUUUGAAGUGUGGACGCCAGUCUGCAUGGAGCCGACCUUGAAAUACCACCCUUUAAUGUUUGAUGUUCUAACGUUGACCCGUAAUCCGGGUUGCGGACAGUGUCUGGUGGGUAGUUUGACUGGGGCGGUCUCCUCCUAAAGAGUAACGGAGGAGCACGAAGGUUGGCUAAUCCUGGUCGGACAUCAGGAGGUUAGUGCAAUGGCAUAAGCCAGCUUGACUGCGAGCGUGACGGCGCGAGCAGGUGCGAAAGCAGGUCAUAGUGAUCCGGUGGUUCUGAAUGGAAGGGCCAUCGCUCAACGGAUAAAAGGUACUCCGGGGAUAACAGGCUGAUACCGCCCAAGAGUUCAUAUCGACGGCGGUGUUUGGCACCUCGAUGUCGGCUCAUCACAUCCUGGGGCUGAAGUAGGUCCCAAGGGUAUGGCUGUUCGCCAUUUAAAGUGGUACGCGAGCUGGGUUUAGAACGUCGUGAGACAGUUCGGUCCCUAUCUGCCGUGGGCGCUGGAGAACUGAGGGGGGCUGCUCCUAGUACGAGAGGACCGGAGUGGACGCAUCACUGGUGUUCGGGUUGUCAUGCCAAUGGCACUGCCCGGUAGCUAAAUGCGGAAGAGAUAAGUGCUGAAAGCAUCUAAGCACGAAACUUGCCCCGAGAUGAGUUCUCCCUGACUCCUUGAGAGUCCUGAAGGAACGUUGAAGACGACGACGUUGAUAGGCCGGGUGUGUAAGCGCAGCGAUGCGUUGAGCUAACCGGUACUAAUGAACCGUGAGGCUUAACC
rnacentral:rRNA from 1 species